AUGAACGCUGGCGGCGUGCUUAACACAUGCAAGUCGAACGAAGCACUUUAUUUGAUUUCCUUCGGGACUGAUUAUUUUGUGACUGAGUGGCGGACGGGUGAGUAACGCGUGGGUAACCUGCCUUGUACAGGGGGAUAACAGUUGGAAACGGCUGCUAAUACCGCAUAAGCGCACGGCAUCGCAUGAUGCAGUGUGAAAAACUCCGGUGGUAUAAGAUGGACCCGCGUUGGAUUAGCUAGUUGGUGAGGUAACGGCCCACCAAGGCGACGAUCCAUAGCCGACCUGAGAGGGUGACCGGCCACAUUGGGACUGAGACACGGCCCAAACUCCUGCGGGAGGCAGCAGUGGGGAAUAUUGCACAAUGGGCGAAAGCCUGAUGCAGCGACGCCGCGUGAGCGAAGAAGUAUUUCGGUAUGUAAAGCUCUAUCAGCAGGGAAGAUAAUGACGGUACCUGACUAAGAAGCACCGGCUAAAUACGUG
rnacentral:rRNA from 1 species